rnacentral:lncRNA from 10 species
GAAGUUAGACCUAUCAUGUAUAAAUACAAAUGACCAAGGACUGUGCCCCUAAGCUGAAGCAGGCUGAAAAACAAGAUGUCCCAUACCUCUUAACCAUGAGACUUGGAAUGAGUUUACAGUUGCUGUUAAAACUUGAAAAAGGGUAGCUUUAUUUUUCACACAUUUGUGAACAAGGCUUGGCUGGGAAGUUGGAGACCACAAGUUGGCACAUUCCCAUGAAGGCUGCCAACAGAGAGUCCAAUCACACACCAGUCUCAUGCACGGAGCUGACAACCACAUCCCUUAAAGAAAGGCCCUGUGCCAUUUCCAGAGCUUUUCUUUUUUCUCGUCAUGGUGUUGGCUUUUAAUGGAAACCAAGAAACUUGAUGCACCGAGCCCAAGAAACAGAAACAGAAGCAGAAGCAGAAAGCUUCAGUGGAAAACAGCUAUCCAGUUAAAGCAUCAUCACAUACAACUGAGAUGAUCUCGGGCACCCCUGCACCCCAGCCUCCUCAGCAGGGUGGGAGAGUGAUGCCCACACUGCUCACCUUGCAAGAAGAAAUGACCAUCGAGCCAACCAGUUCUUGCUGUGUAACCAAGGGUGCUGAGGCCCAGCGGCUGGGCCAGCUGGCUGGGAGUUGCUGAUGGAGGCCAGGGGCUGUGCUCCCUCUGUUUCCAGUGCUCCAGCAGGCAGGCCUGGGAGUGUGCACGUGGUCCUGGGAGAAGCACGACAAGCAACUCUCCUGAUGAAGAGCCCACAAUGGAUCCUAGCCUAUUCUCUCCAGUCUGAAUUUCUCACUCGAUUUGACAUCUGUGCAUAUGCAGUGCUGCUAAUGUCCAGAAGAGAAUGUGCAUAUAAAGAAAUGAGGUGUUCUUCCUCUUUAAAUAAUCAAUAAGUCAUAUGUAAUGCCUCCAGGAGAUUGAUAACAACAUAAUGAAGCCAAUAGUUUGCACGUGUUCUUUCAAUUAUAAUGCUAACCACUUUUAUGAGGUCUAACAUGAAAUAGAGCUGGUGAGGAGCAGGGUAGAGAACUUAAGACCAGCCACCUUUCCUAGUGUGUCCCAUGUGCGGGCUUCGCAGCUCCCGGCAGGUCCAUGGCAGUCCUUGGGUCCCCAGGUCAUUGCUGUGCAAACAAGUCUCCGGCCUGGUGCUCAGCUAAGUUCUUGUAAAUAGGCCUGUGAAUAGUGCUGCAAUAAAC